AGCGAACGCUGGCGGCAGGCCUAACACAUGCAAGUCGAACGAACCUUUCGGGGUUAGUGGCGGACGGGUGAGUAACACGUGGGAACGUGCCUUUAGGUUCGGAAUAACUCAGGGAAACUUGUGCUAAUACCGAAUGUGCCCUUCGGGGAAAGAUUAAUCGCCUUUAGAGCGGCCCGCGUCUGGUUAGCUAGUUGGUUGAGGUAAUGGCUCACCAAGGCGACGAUCAGUAGCUGGUCUGAGAGGAUGAUCAGCCACAUUGGGACUGAGACACGGCCCAAACUCCUACGGGAGGCAGCAGUGGGGAAUCUUGCGCAAUGGGCGAAAGCCUGACGCAGCCAUGCCGCGUGAAUGAUGAAGGUCUUAGGAUUGUAAAAUUCUUUCACCGGGGACGAUAAUGACGGUACCCGGAGAAGAAGCCCCGGCUAACUUCGUG
rnacentral:rRNA from 1 species